GUAACGGCGAGUGAAGCGGCAACAGCUCAAAUUUGAAAUCUGGUCACCUUACGGAGGCCCGAGUUGUAAUUUGAAGAGGAUGCUUUUGGCGAGGUGCCUUCCGAGUGCCCUGGAACGGGACGCCACAGAGGGUGAGAGCCCCGUAUGGUUGGACACCGAGCCUAUGUAAAGCUCCUUCGACGAGUCGAGUAGUUUGGGAAUGCUGCUCAAAAUGGGAGGUAAACCCCUUCUAAAGCUAAAUAUUGGCCAGAGACCGAUAGCGCACAAGUAGAGUGAUCGAAAGAUGAAAAGCACUUUGAAAAGAGAGUUAAACAGCACGUGAAAUUGUUGAAAGGGAAGCGCUUGCGACCAGACUUGCGCCCGUCGGAUCAACCGUCGCUUGUCGGCGGCGCACUCCGGCGGGCUCAGGCCAGCAUCAGUUUUCCCGGGGGGAGAAAGGCGGUGGGAAUGUAGCUCCUAGGAGUGUUAUAGCCCGCCGCGUAAUACCCUCGGGGGGACUGAGGACCGCGCAUCUGCAAGGAUG
rnacentral:rRNA from 1 species